GAAUGAUGCUUGUAUCCUUGUAUGGAAUUAAUCUUUUCAUUAUGUUGUUGUUAAAGUAGUUUAGAGAGUUUUUCUUUUUUCACUGUCUUCACUACAAGACACACAGAGGUUUGCGACGGUAAUUUGGGGGUGGUUUAUCAAACAGCUGUGAAUGGAAGAAUUGGGGCGGUUCAACUUGAGGUUUUUGAGUGCGCAGCUAGAUAAUUUUAAUUUGGGAGGUUUUUAUCAAACCCCAACCCGUUCUCUCCCUCCCUAAUUGAAACAUGGUGAAUAACUUCUAAGGGUUCUCUGCCUUUCCCCUGCAUUCAAAAUCGCACCUUUCUCAUCUUACCGAGUUUUGGCGUUGCUCCCUCCCUAAUGUGUAUCUUCUCUCACUACCAGUUUAGUCCACCUCUACCUGCGAAUCCCGCAAACAAAUCUCAAUUCAAUCCGCCACCCACGCACUGCCCUUCGAUCGUUCUGGUUGCGACCUAAGUUUCUGAGAUCGAGAGAGAAAGCGCGUCUUCCUUUAACACAUCUCCUCCGCCAACGACGUCGUUGCUCUCUCCGUUAGCAAGCUAUCAAUUUUUGCAAUCUCUUCUUCUUUCUACUCGUUUUCAAUUUCUGGUGCUCUUUCUCCUUCCCUUUCUAUUCAUUUAUUUGUUUUUUAUUCUGAUAUUCUGAUUGAUUUGCUCUUUGAUAUAACAAUAUUUAAUGAGUUUUAGUUUCUCUUAAUUGAAUUGUUUCAAAUUCUCAAGCACUCCAGGUGUUUGAUGAAAUACUUAUUAAUUUUUUUCUCACUAAAUACAGUAAUUGAUGUUGAUUUAGUAAAAGAUUAUUAAUUUGUGACGAAGGUCCAAAAUAUGAGUGAGGAUGAUAAUAAUGAUUCGGGUCUGUUUGCAUUCUGUUGAAAACCUCGAAGAAAAAGAAAAAAUAAAAAAGAGAUAAAACGAUAUUCAAAUCGAAGCGGAAGCAGAAAAAAUGGAGAAGAUCUGCGUCGCCGUUCGUCUUCGCCCUCUAGUUUUUGAAGACUCCUCUAAUGGAGCUUCUGGAAGGUUGAAGAGAAUCGUGUUUUGCUUCACAGGAUUCAUGACACACCACUCUCUAACUCUUUUUAUGCUUUUCGCACCCAUGGCUUCUACGAGCUGCUCGCCAAGGAUAUAAUUCAUGCUGUGCUCAAUGGCUUCAAUGGCAUGUUUCUAAUAUAUGAACAAAUAUGAACGCUAGGAGUAGCAGAUUGCAUACAAUAUUUAGAAUGGUAUACCUUAAACCUCUAUGUAGAUCUUACAUUAUAAUGGUUCUGGAUUUUAUUAUACUCCUUUUGAAUUUCAGUUAUUAGUAUAUUGUGUUAAUUGUAAUAUUUUUUCCAUUCUGUAUAGAUUUAUAUUGAUGUACAAGAGAAUGAUGCCCAAUUUUCUUCCUAAAAUAAAUACCAUCUUAAAAACUUCUACAUUUAUCACUAAUAAGAAAUCAAAGAAAAAGUAUGAUAUAGAACAAUAAAACAAUAGAAAAAUAAUAUGCCGCUAGUACAUAUUAGUAAGAGUUGCCCUGUUUUGCCACCAUGAUUGCUUAAAUUAAUGUCUUACUAGAUAUUAGAGGAUAAUGGACUUUGAAAUAAGAUAAUAUUUUAUAAUGUUUACUCGGGCCCAUUUAUCUAUCUAGAUUACUUGGUCAGGAAAUAGCAACAUUAUUGAAUCUUUAGGAUCUUCCUUGUUUGCAAUGUUAACUCGUAUUAGACUAAUGCUGAAGCAUUAAAUGAACUUUCUUUUUAUAUUAUUUUUUGUUCAUGUUCUCCCAUUUAGUAUGAGAUGGAGCGUGGGAAUCUUGAAAUGGAACUUGAAGAGGAGAGGAUGUCCCGCAAUCAAUGGAUUAUGGCAUAAAAAUUUUGUGGCAUUGAUCGAGAGAAAGCAUUUAGAUAUCUUUAGAGUUCAUAACUUGAAUAAUCAUGCUUGCUGCUAGAAUUUAUUUACUUUGUCCAUGGGACUUUGAUAUUUUGGGUUGGUCAUGUUUGUGUUUUUUUCCAUAAAACUCAGGCUCUUAACUGCCCUUCAUGGAUACAAAAUGAAAUUUUGUAGUCCUUUCUCAGAUUUUUAUUCUCAGCUUGAAAUCUCUUUUGCACUUUUUCAAUGACAAAAUAAUCAAAUUUUCUUGUACAAAUAUUUGAUUUCAUAUGUUCUACUCAAUUUUUCUGGUAGACCAUCUUGUCUGAAUUAUUUUCUUAUGUGCAGGGCUAGCUUAGCUUAGCUACUUCUCUAUGCGAAAAUAUACAUUGCCAUAUAAAAUGUUAACAAUAAUGUAUGUGUUUUUUGCACAAUUUAAACUGAAUUUAUUUACUGUGUCCAUCGGGCUUUGAUAUUUUGGGUUGGUCAUGUUUGUGUUUUUUCCAUAAAGCUCAGGCUCUUAACUGCCCUUCAUGGAUACAAAAUGAAAUUUUGUAGUCCUUUCUCAGAUUUUCAUUCUCAACUUGAAAUCUCUUUUGCACUUUUUCAAUGACAAAAUAAUCAAAUUUUCUUGUACAAAUAUUUGAUUUCAUAUUUUCUACACUCAAUUUUUCUGGUAGGCCAUCUUGUCUGAAUUAUUUUCUUAUGUGCAGGGCUAGCUUAGCUUAGCUACUUCUCUAUGAAAAAAUAUGCAUUGCCAUAUAAAAUGUUAACAAUAAUGUAUGUGUUUUUUGCACAAUUUAAACUGAAUUUUCCUUGCAUCUUCAAAUGAAGUUAGAGGAAGAAAGAAUUGAGGCUGAGAAAAAUCUGGUAAUCUUUUUCCCCCUCCAAUCCAUAUUUGGAUAGAAUGUGUCUCUGUUAAUAUGAAAUGAAGGUUUCCAUUUGUGAGUAGAAGUUGGUGGUAACAAAUCUCUGCUAGUAAGCUUUACAUAUAAACCUGGUGUUACAAAAAUCCUGCUGUCUUUUUAACUUCUAACUCCAUAUUAGUUUUUAUUCCAAAAAUUAAUUUCAUUUUCAUAUCUUAUUGUCUUCAAUGCAAGAAAGUUUACAACUACUUUGAUACUUCUUCAUUAUCAGUAUAGUUUUCCCCCUCCUAUAUGAUUAUUGUAUGCAUUCUUCAGUAUCUGAGUUUCUAGUUCUACAGGUAAAAGAAGAGGCACAACAACUUGCUCAAAUUUUUGAAACAGUUAGGUCUUUCAAGGUGAAGCAGAAAUGUGGUAAAGGAAAACUAAUUUUUGGAAGUGUUACAGCUCAAGAUCUUGUUGACAUUAUCAAGGCGCAGCUUCAAAGGUACUAUCUGUCUGAUGUACACAAGUCUUUCUCUUUGAGAAUUGGGAGUACUAACUAGUCUUAGGGAGGUGGGCAAGAGAAUUGUCGAACUUCUAGAGAUACAUGAAACCGGAGAAUAUAUCGCAGAGUUAAAGCUUUAUCCGGAAGUUACAGUGAGAAUAAGGUUGAAUGUCUUUGCUAACUAAAGCACGAGUAUGAAGUUCUAUAUGCUAAUAAUGCACAUUUGGAGCUAUCGGCUUGCAUUAGUUCAAGGUGAAUAACCACUGUAUGAAUCUUCAAACAUCAAGCUUUAUGCAACUUUGUCCCAAAGUUCAUAUUUUCUCUUUGAAUGUGUAUUCAUGUUUUAGGACCUUUGUUUGGAAUGUACUAUUUUCAUGAAAGUUAUGUAAUUAUUAUAGAGUAGUCUCCUUUUUAAGGUUAUGAAAGCUAGAAUUUGUAAAAAUCAUAUUCUAGUUUAAAAUUGUCAGUUUUUUUAA